CUUUCUUGGAGGGAAGAGGGGCAUGUUGAGAAGAAGACUGUCCUUUGGUGGGAGAGGCCAUAUUUUAGUUUUUUGGCUAGAUGGAGCCUACGCAUUCUGACCAGUGAUGGUGGUAUGUCAGCUUCAUUGUACCAAGAAACGCCUAGCAAACUGGUAAAGCAGACACCUGGAUCAACUGUUCAACAUGCUCAAUACAAUGGUCUCUUGCAAUAAGUAGCCCAGGAAAGCAGAAAAUUGUAUGACAAAGGAAAAGUGAUCAAGGCAGGUGUAAUGGAAGCUCAUGAGGGAAGUUCUUCCUGUCAUCACAGAUGUCCUCAGAGUGCUCUUCUCCAUGGGAAAAACUGUGUCCCUGUCCCAUCAGCCAAAAAACAUGCAAUCCUGGGAAGGACCUUUCCAGUGCUGUCUCAUUAACCAGAUGACCCCCCAGACAUUGUCAGCACGGCCCAGCCAAGGUGAUUGAUCACCAGAGAACAGAGAAGAGUGUUCAGUUCUCUCCUUCACAGACGCCCUUCUGCCCGCCACACCAACGGAUGGGGCUGCACCUGCCCUGGAGUCGCUUGGGCUUGAGGCAGGGUGAGUUGGUUACCGGAUGGCACUGUUCUUAUGGAAGUUAGCUCUGUC
rnacentral:lncRNA from 1 species